UCUAAGAGAGAGUUUGGAAGAAGAAGAGAAAUUUUACUAGAAUUUUUAGGUUGAAGAGGAGGAGGAGAACUCAAGCAAAGUGUAUCCAUGGCUGAAUUUUAGUUCAUUCUGCACAUCACUGGUUUUUAAUUCGGUUUGAACUCUUCAAAAGGAAUUAAGAGGGCAGUUGGUUUUCACUCGAAAUCAGGAGGUCUCUGGUUUUUCUUAUAUUUCAGAGUGUAUCGGUGGAGUUAGAAUCUCUAUUUGGAACAAGUUAAAGAGGUCGUGUGCGCGCGAUUCUGGAAGUGGUUCUAUUUUGAGGGUUAUAUGUGUUUAUGCACGGGGAAUCAGAUUUAUAUGUCUUCAGGUAAGUUUUAGAGGAUCUCAAAAUGAAGAGUUUGAUAUAAAGAACACUCAUUUUGGUUAAGUAUUGAGAAAGUUAUAGUCCUUUGAAGUUUAUGUUAGAAAUCUGGAAAUUUUGGAGAAUUGUUGAAAUAGGAUUUUAUUUCUUAAGCUUUGUUUUCGUGAGCGUCAUCUUUGGUGCGACAUGUUAUGUAUAUCUUUAGGAAACCAGAAUGUUUAGGGUUUUAAUACUCGGUUGGGUUGU